GACAGAGGGUGCAAACGUUGCUCGGAAUCACUGGGCGUAAAGGGCGUGUAGGCGGGUAUGUAAGUCGGGCGUGAAAUCCCUAGGCUCAACCUAGGAACUGCACUCGAAACUGCGUUUCUUGAGUAUCGGAGAGGAAAGCGGAAUACCUGGUGUAGAGGUGAAAUUCGUAGAUAUCAGGUGGAACACCAGUGGCGAAGGCGGCUUUCUGGACGAUUACUGACGCUGAGGUGCGAAAGCGUGGGGAGCAAACAGG
rnacentral:rRNA from 1 species